UUCUGGCUCAGGAUGAACGCUAGCUACAGGCUUAACACAUGCAAGUCGAGGGGCAGCAUUGGGAUAGCUGCUAUUCAGAUGGCGACCGGCGCACGGGUGAGUAACGCGUAUCCAACCUUCCUGCCAGUAGGGAACAGCCCGGCGAAAGUCGGAUUAAUGCCCUAUGUUCUUCAAUGCGGACAUCUAAGUUGAAGGAAAGAUUCAUCGCUGGCAGAUGGGGAUGCGUCCGAUUAGCUUGCCGGCGGGGUAACGGCCCACCGGGGCGACGAUCGGUAGGGGUUCUGAGAGGAAGGUCCCCCACACUGGUACUGAGACACGGACCAGACUCCUACGGGAGGCAGCAGUGAGGAAUAUUGGUCAAUGGGCGUAAGCCUGAACCAGCCAAGUAGCGUGCAGGAAUGACGGCCCUACGGGUUGUAAACUGCUUUUAUGCGGGGAUAAAGUGCGGCACGUGUGCCGCUUUGCAGGUACCGCAUGAAUAAGGACCGGCUAAUUCCGUGCCAGCCGCAGC
rnacentral:rRNA from 1 species